rnacentral:tRNA from 1 species
GCGCCUGUGGCUCAAAGGAAUAGGGCGCCAGCACCAUCAUAUACUGGAGGUGGCGGGUUCAAAUCCUGCCCUGGCCCA